rnacentral:rRNA from 1 species
UACGUAGGGCGCAAGCGUUGUCCGGAAUUAUUGGGCGUAAAGAGCUCGUAGGCGGUUUGUCGCGUCGGCUGUGAAAUCCUGGGGCUUAACUCCGGGCCUGCAGUCGAUACGGGCAGACUUGAGUGUGGUAGGGGAGACUGGAAUUCCUGGUGUAGCGGUGAAAUGCGCAGAUAUCAGGAGGAACACCGGUGGCGAAGGCGGGUCUCUGGGCCACUACUGACGCUGAGGAGCGAAAGCGUGGGGAGCGAACAGG